AUGAAUAUCUUAAGUUGGAACUGCCGGGGAGCAGGGAAUACCCGGACAGUUCGAGAACUUGCGACUCUUUGCCAGUCGCAUUCCCCCACUCUGGUCUUCUUAUGUGAGACGAGGCAAAAAGAAGAAAAGAUGAGAAGACUAAGGGGUCAUUUGGGUUUGAAAGGAUUUUCUGGUGUGGAUAGUAGUGGUUUGAGUGGUGGUUUGGCACUGUUUUGGCAUGAAUCAUAUGAUGUACAAGUGUUGGACAAGAAUGAACGGUAUAUUGAUGCAUUAGUUCGAGUCCACCGUGAUGCUGCACAAUGGAGAGUAACAUGCAUAUAUGGAGAGCCGAGAAUUUAG
rnacentral:rRNA from 1 species